GAGAGAUUUCUUUGCCUUCUCCUUGUGCUGCUGGGAUUUGGUUGGUAAUAAAUUCCCUCCCUGUGCCCAGGCUGGGUCUGUUGUGCCCGUGCCAGUUGAAAGGGUUCAAAUCAUUGUACCUGUGCAAGUAUAAGGUACAGGGUAAAAGUUAGCAAAUAUUGGCCACAAACUUAAGGCACUGAAUGUAAGUUGGCAAGAAAUGGGGAACAAAAGUCUCAGAAAUGAUGAACAAAGCUUGCUGAGACCAGUAGAGAAACUGCAGAAGCAGCCAACGAGAGACUGCGCCUGCCUAGGAAAGAAAGGUGAAAAGUGCAAAGCGAGGAAGACUGUGGCACCUGGGGAGGUGAUGGGGGUUGGGAGGAAUUUUUAUUACGUCCCUGGGUAGGAACCCAUUUCCACUCCCCUUCAUCCCCCAGGUCUCCUCCCUCAGCCUGAUGGUGAGAAGCAUGGGAGUGCUCUGACUGCUGAGGGGCUUCUCUCAGGGAUGGAAGGGUGAAACUCCACCAGUCUAUUUCCCUUUCCCUUUCUCUAAUGCUCCUUAGUCUUUCCACUUCCUCCUUAAGCUCGGCCACCAGGGAAAGGAGAUCGUUCACCUGUUUGCACCUCAGGCAGGUGUCUUUGACAGCAUCCCCUGGUGCUACUGCCAGGCUCAAACACUCCUCACAGGAAGGGAUCUGGACAGACGCGUCCUUCUGGGAGGGUUCUGCUUGGCUGGGUACUCUUUUAGUGGCUGGAGCUUUUGAUCGUGUGAGGACCAUUGCUGAAAAACCCAACCAACCAAAUCUCAACACAAAAACAAACUACAAACCCCACGGGCAGGAGAACACCCGCAGCCCUGCCCUCGGAGACGUGCCACGGCUCUAUUUACCCGCUCCGGUUCCCCGUGCUCCCCAGAGCUCUUUUUGAAUCUGACCGCCGCUGGCCGGAGGAAACCUCACCCUAUGUGGGGGUGUCACCCCCUUUGCUCUGCCCACAGAGCUCCUGAGCCGCCGGCGGCCACAGCCCCUCCCCGUGGCCUUAGGUCCGGCCGGGACCCCAAGUUUCAAGUGUAUUGAAGGGAUGAAGAGAAAUGAAAAGAAAACCAAAAGAAAAGGAGUUCCGUGUCGGUGCCAGCUAGGGAUCCUCGUGCUUGGGUUGGAGUGAAGAAGCUUUUUUGAGGGGGUUUCCACCCCACUGUCUCCAGAAUCUUGAUCUUUGAUCCAGUCCAUUUUGUUGUGGAAGAUGCCCUUGGGCCAGAGAAAUUCAGAAUCCUGGAAUCACGGAGGUUGGAAAAGACCUCAAGGACUGUCCAGUAUUCCUGGAUGUCACCAGAAGAUAGGAUUGAAUGGAAAAGAUUUUUGGGGGUCAAUAUUCAACAAAUCUGCUCUCCCCAAUGAAUUCCCAAUGUCACUCUGCAUCCCAAGGGAUGUUCCUGCCCCUGGAUUCAUCCAGGUGCCCACGGGGAGCCAGGAAGAUGUGGAGACCCCAGCCAGGUGUCUUCGCAACACGGAUCACCAGGACCAUGGAUCACCAAGGCUCUGCCCAACAAUGGUCACUGGGGAUCAUCCAACACGUAUCCUCCUGUGAUACGUGAAGGAAGGAGACCCACCAACAGCAGAGAUGCAGGUGAAUCUAAGGUUUAUUCAAAAGCACCAGUAUAUAUAUCCUUACUUCUAAGAGCUUACAGCCGUGAUCACAGUCCUACAAUAAAUCUGUCUUCUUGACAUUUUCCAUUGUUCUCUCCAAGGCCACAGUGAAGGAGCGUGAAGAAUGUGCGUAGAGCAUGUGCAUAAAGCGUGUGCGUCUUAUGUUGACGUAGAAGUAGAAACUCGUUAGUUCAGUUCUAUCUCAGGUGCACGCUGUGUCAGAGAAACCUUCUGCUGGUACUGCUGGUGCUGCUGCUGUCGUUCUCUGUGUAACUCUUUCCUUAUACCAACACCUGUUAACCCAACAACUCCCCUAUUUUAUUUUUUGGAGUCAUGGACAAAGCAAGUGCAACCAUAGCUUGUUUUUGUGUGCCUUUAACGGCUCUGAUUAUGUUGAAAAGGACAAGACAGAAUAUCAAAAAAGAUACCACUGCUAGACAACCUAAUCCAAUAAAAACCCAAGCUUGUAAAUUUAUUCCUGAAAACCAAUUUUUUGGAUUUACCCAAGUAAGAUCAUUUUUUAAGUCAGUCAGUACCUUUUGCUCCUCUAGAGUUUGCAAAUCUCUAAGUUGCUCUUUUAACUGAGCGUGAAGUGAGUGGAUAUCUUGCCUUAGGGCUUUAUCAAAGACUCCUUGGAGAUGGUUUUUGAUUGUUUCCCAGUUUCGUUCUGUUUCAUUCCACGGAAGAGGAGUGACACAUAAAGAGUUAUGUAUGUGUUCCCAAUCGCAAUGUAAAGAUAUGUGGGUUUUUUGAGCCUCAACUCUUUUGCCAAUCCACAAAAGAGCACUUUCCAAGGCAUCUACUCUGGUCAUUAUUUCCUUGUCAAUUUGCUCUUGUGUUUGUAAUUAUUUUGUAAUAUUGGUUAGAGCUUGUCCCACAGUGUGGGCUGUUUGAAUGGAAUUAGCUAAAGCUGCACCAGCUGCAAAGGCUGUGCUUAAAACUAUUACAGCAGAAAUGAUGGCAAAGAUCAGUCAACCGAGAAAUUUGCGAACUCGUUUCUUACUCUUUUGGAUUUCCUCCUGGAAUAAUCGAGCCAAUUGUGACAGUCCAUCUUGUCCUUCCCAAGUCUGAGUCAGGUUUACAGGUACCCAAAUUUGCAGUCUUCUCUUAAAUGGAAGAAGAACAGAAAAGUUAUUCACAUCUUCAUUGGUUACAUAUGAUUUAAAGACAAAAAGAAUUAGCAGACAGAAAAUACAAGCCAUUCCUAUGAUCAACUGAAAAAUUAUUAGCUAAAACAAAAACAUAUGGGUGUGAAGUACAAGUCAUUAGUGGUUGUUUCUUUAGCGAAGUUAUAUUUGCAAUGGUAGCAUUCUUGUUCAGGUUCACCUGGUAUAACGUAUUAUCGAAGGCAGGUAACAGCAUUUUCCACAGAUAGUUAUGAACACAUGAUUGAUUAUUAUCAAUGUUUAAUCAAUGGUCUGGCUAUUCCACUAUCAUGCCAAACAACGCUGUAGUUUGCCUUUUGCAAGCGAAGAAUGGUUUUAUUUGUCCCCUUUUCUCUGAGGAUACUAUGUGGUCCCCAGUAAAUCAAUUUCCCAUAUUGUAA